rnacentral:sRNA from 1 species
UGUUUAUCAAAAGGUGGACGAUAUCGUC